CCCAGUUCUAAAAAUCCACGCCGACAGCUCCCUUAUCCUCUUCCUUCUUCCCUUGGCGACGGGCGGCCUCUCCGCCAAACAUCCUCCCGCCCAAGCGCAUCACCUGCAGAGAGCUUCUUCCUCCCCUAGUCGCGGCUGCCCUCCUCCGCGACCGUGGCACCGAUCGAUCUCUCAUUCUUCCAGCUCUAGUUGUUUCUGCGGAUUCGUUCGAAGCGCGAGCCAGCGAGCAUGGAGGGGCUGACGGAGAGCGAGGUCGCCGGCUUCGCGGUGGGCGCCUUUCUGCUCGGCGCCAGCAUCGCCGCGCAGAGGGUCGACGGCUUCGUCGCCGCUUCGCAGAGAAGCUCUUUAAACAUGUGCAAGCGCUGUGGUGAUCUUCGGAUGGUGGCAUGUUCACAAUGCAAAGGAGUAGGCUCUGUUAGGAAAGGCGGAACCUUCACAUUCGGCGUGCUUGAGGACAUCUAUGAAUCUCUUGGAGCUGAAACCAAGGCAGCUGAUUUGGUCCCUUGCUCAAAGUGCCGUUCUAAAGGCCGCCUCCCGUGUGCAGAGUGCGCCAAGGUCAGAUGACCAUUUGGUAGCGUUUUUGUGAUUAUUGAUCAGAGUAUGGCCAUUUAAUAGAGUUUUGUGAUUGUUGAUAUCAGAAUAAGCUGCCCCAUUUUGUAAACGCUGAUAUGUACGGACUGAUCGAACUAUGGAUGAGUGCUUUUAUAAUCACUCCGGAAAUUCGUAGGGGCACGCACCUGCUGAGCCAUGUCCAGUUUUAAGUUUGUAGUUUUCUUGCUCAUUUUUACC
rnacentral:rRNA from 1 species